rnacentral:misc_RNA from 1 species
AACGCACAUUGCGCCCCUUGGUAUUCCGAGGGGCAUGCCUGUUCGAGCGUCAUUAAACCCCUCAAGCUCUGCUUGGUGUUGGGGUCCGCGGUCUCGCGGCCCCUAAAAUCAGUGGCGGUGCCGGUCGGCUCUCAGCGUAGUAAUGCUCUCGCUACAGGGUCGGUCGGUUCCUGCCAGAACCCCAACUUUCUCAGUUUGACCUCGGAUCAGGUAGGGAUACCCGCUGAACUUAA